rnacentral:lncRNA from 1 species
GGGGCAGCGGAGAUUCCUGCUCUUCGCGAGGGGAGGGAGGGCGAGCGAGCAUCUAGGGAGGAAAAAGAGUUUCUCUGCCUUGGCUCUCUGCCUUUGCUGAGCGGCGUCUCCUCCUUCCGCACCCGACCUCCUGAGCUCCGAAGGUCUUGGAAAAAGGUCCGCUUUUUGCCAAGAACAGCUGCAAUAAAUCUAUGCAGGAGGCGGGAAAUGGCUGAAGCCUGAAGGCAACCAAUGGUUUUGUAAGAUCUCUUGUUAUCUUGCCUUUGCGGUCAUGAGCCAACUGAUGAGUAACGAGUGCCAGCUGACUGCAUUCCACUUCACUCCAACAGCCUCAGAAAGGCAGGGAGCCUUUGAGCCAAGGCUCUUAGACAGGUAGGAAAGGUUUUCUAUUUCUGGCCGCUUGUCUUCGUUGGGUAAGGAAGACUAACAAGGUAAGGAAAACAGCUUCACCAGAGACUCAAGCAAAAUAACUGGCGCUUCUGCCACACAGUCCAGCAGUGCAGGGGCCUCUCCUUGGAUACACAACCUCCUGAGCUCUGGAGCUCUUGGAAAGGCAAGUGAGCAAUCAGUGAUGGGAGCAAUUUGUGGAUGCAGGGGGUGGGCUCGGAGAUG